UGGGGAAUAUUGGACAAUGGGCGAAAGCCUGAUCCAGCCAUGCCGCGUGUGUGAAGAAGGUCUUCGGAUUGUAAAGCACUUUAAGUUGGGAGGAAGGGCAUUAACCUAAUACGUUAGUGUUUUGACGUUACCGACAGAAUAAGCACCGGCUAACUCUGUGCCAGCAGCCGCGGUAAUACAGAGGGUGCAAGCGUUAAUCGGAAUUACUGGGCGUAAAGCGCGCGUAGGUGGUUUGUUAAGUUGGAUGUGAAAUCCCCGGGCUCAACCUGGGAACUGCAUUCAAAACUGACUGACUAGAGUAUGGUAGAGGGUGGUGGAAUUUCCUGUGUAGCGGUGAAAUGCGUAGAUAUAGGAAGGAACACCAGUGGCGAAGGCGACCACCUGGACUAAUACUGACACUGAGGUGCGAAAGCGUAGGGAGCAAACA
rnacentral:rRNA from 1 species